rnacentral:lncRNA from 1 species
CACACACACACACACACAAAACUGUAUGGUGGUGGUCAUUUUGGCUGCUUUUUGGCUCUUAUGACUGCAGAAGUAUUUGGGGACCAUGCAGAAGACUUGCAUCUUCCAGGCCCCAGAAAUUAUCCAACUGGAGCAGUGGGAAGAGCUCUAGGUGCCUGUUAGGGAUUAAAUUACGUCCCCAUAAAAUUCCUGUGUUGAAAUCCUGAUGCCCCAAUGUGACUGUAUUUGGAGACAGGGCCUUUAGAGAGGUAAAUAAGGUUAAAUGAGGUUGUAGGGUGGGGCUCCAAUCCAACAUGAUGGGUGUCCUCAUAAGAAAAGGAGGAGACACCCGUGUUGCAUGCACACAGAGGAAGAGGCAUGUGAGCACACAGUGAAAAGGUGGCCAUCUGCAAGCCAUGGAAAGGGGCCUCAGGAGAAACCAACCCCCCCAGCACCUUGAUCUUGGACGUCCAGCCUCCAGAACUGUGAGUGUGCAUCCAGAUGGCAGCCGUACUGAAGUGGGUAUGUGAGAGAGGCUUCUUCUUUAGUGUAGACCAUCACUAUGCUGGAAGCUACACAGUGGAGAGAAAACCUUAAGCAGGGUCUCAAACUUGAGAACUGCAGAGUCUACUUUUCACAGAAGCCCUUCACAGGUGGGGAGGGUGAGAAGGAGUUCCCAACCAGCUCAGGGCUUCUCAAACAUCAGGUCAUUCACAGCGACGGAUGAGGAAGCAGCCAGGAGCUCUGAGCGGGAGGAGGCCUUCCCCACUGGACAAGGCAUCGGAACAGCGUUGAGUAUGGGAGAGCCUUCGAUCACAAUAGAUACUUGUUCGGCAGCAGAGAACACACACUGGGUAGAAUCAUUUUGAAUAUGAUGAAUACAGAAAAUCCUUUAACCAUAAACCCAUACGCCGUAAAUCAUCUCUGGAGAAUUUACACUGGAGAAACACCAUAUGAGCCCAGCUAUUGUGGGAAUUUUAUCAAAGGCUUCCACCUCAUCCAACACCAGGGUGCUCACACUGGGAAAAGCUUUCUACGUGCAGCAAAUGGAGGAAAUCCUUUUUGAGAACCCAAGGAUUCACACUGGAGAAAGGCAUUUUGAAUGCAGCAAUGUUUUUUUAUACAAAAUCUCCAGCCUCAUUAAACAUCAAAGCAUUCACAGGAGAAAAAGGCCUAACGAAUCGGGGGGAAUGGGGGAAAUUCUUUACCCACAUCCCCAGCCUCAUUCAACCCUGGAGAGUUCAAACGUCAGCAAGGUCCUCUGAAUGAAGUGAAUAUAGGAGAUGGUUUCACAAAAGGUCCAACCUCAUUUGGCACCAGAAGUUUACAACAGAGAAAGACCUUCUGUGGGAAAGACUUCAGCUAAAUGUCUGCUCUGAUCCAACCCUGGAAAAUUCACAGCCCAGGAAGAACCCCUAAGUGCAGUGAAGGCAGGACACCUUCAGCCAAAGGCCUGACAUCCUCAGCACCAGCAAGUUCACGCUGGGUUGAGCAUUCACAUGCUUAUUGGCCAAUUGGACAUCCUCUUCUGUGAGGUUCCUGUUCAAGCAUUUUACAUACCUUUAUAAAAUUGAGUUGGUUGUCUCAUUCUUUUUGAUUAUCAGGAAAUCUUUAUACAUUUGAUACAAGCUUUUUACCAGGUAUAUGUAUUGAGAAUAUCUUCUACAAGGCUGUGGUUGGCCUUUCUAUCCUUUUAAUCAUAACUUUCAUAAUAAACAGAAGUUCUUAAUGGGUUGACAUUUAAUCCAUUGCUAGCAUCCUUUUUAAGAUAUGUUUGCCUAACACAAUGUCCUGAAGAUAUUUGCAUGUUUUCUUCUACAAACUGUCAUUUUAUUGUUCAUAUUAAGAUCUAUUAUUCAUUGUAAAUUAAUUUUUGUGUAUAG